rnacentral:sRNA from 1 species
AACAACAAAUAACUGCAAAAAACAACAAUGAAAACUAUCAGCAACAGUCACAGAGAAGUAAUGUAAAUAUUCAACAACAACCACAGACACAGCCUAUCUCAGGAAAUCCAUCUGCAGGUCAAAAGAUAUAUU